GCUGCUUUCCCUACAGUUCACCCAGGGAACUUGGAUUGAAAGGAAGAGACUGAGGUUGGAUCUCAGGAACACUUCAUAGCAUGCUGGUGUGCCAUGCCAGCUGGAGCCAGGGUGUUUCUUCUUAUAGAGGAUGAUGGCACCAGAUACGCUGACUUCAGGGCCUGGGCAUUUCCACCAGCUGCACCCAAGAUGGAGAGCAGGGUCUAAUGCAUCAAAAAUCUGGAAAGUUCCUGUUGUCACCUCCUAAGCUACUCCCUCAAAAUAACCAAAGCCUUCAACUGUAUGCCUUUGAAUAGCUGAAGUCUGAAAAUAAAUUAGUUUUAAUUCCCAUU